rnacentral:rRNA from 1 species
GGCUCAGGAUGAACGCUGGCGGCGUGCCUAAUACAUGCAAGUCGAGCGAACAGACGAGGAGCUUGCUCCUCUGACGUUAGCGGCGGACGGGUGAGUAACACGUGGAUAACCUACCUAUAAGACUGGGAUAACUUCGGGAAACCGGAGCUAAUACCGGAUAACAUGUUGAACCGCAUGGUUCAACAGUGAAAGACGGUCUUGCUGUCACUUAUAGAUGGAUCCGCGCCGCAUUAGCUAGUUGGUAAGGUAACGGCUUACCAAGGCAACGAUGCGUAGCCGACCUGAGAGGGUGAUCGGCCACACUGGAACUGAGACACGGUCCAGACUCCUACGGGAGGCAGCAGUAGGGAAUCUUCCGCAAUGGGCGAAAGCCUGACGGAGCAACGCCGCGUGAGUGAAGAAGGUCUUCGGAUCGUAAAACUCUGUUAUUAGGGAAGAACAAAUGUGUAAGUAACUAUGCACGUCUGACGGUA